UUUUAUUUAAUUAUUUUUAAUCGUUUUUCUUAGACGCCGUAGUGGCGCUGUCAGCGCAAGUCGCUAUCUGCAAACGCAAAGCCCUAUUCUAAAACUCUUCCCUCCUGCGUGCCCCAACGCUAACACCCGCAAAGCUCUUUGGGGCCCCAAAAUAUUGGGGCCCCUAUUCUAAAACUCAAUUAAAAACAUCAACGCAAUGAGCAGCAGCCCGUGCAUUCUGAGAGUAUGGAAACGCGCCCACGCUGAUCACACGCGGGCAGCCAUUGAAGACGGUUUGCCGCAGCACGCGCCUCGGGCCGGCAAAGAGCUGCCGUUCAGAGCACCGCGACAGCUCCUGGCGCACUGCUGCACCAAGCGAGCGACACACAAGGGAUCGCUCUCGAGCCGGGCUCACCAGCACGGAUCCUCGCAGCGAAUCGAGCCGACGGUGAGAGCAUGAUUACAAAAAGAAGGAUAUGCUGAAGACGGUGCCAAGGUCACAAGACUGUACCGGAACUUUCUGACAUGAUUAUUGAAUGAUUGUCACAAGUGAGAUUGUCACUCAACAGUUGACGAGGAUUUUCUUGAGCUACCUCCUGCCUCCUGAUUCUUGGCUUAUCCUCUUUCGCGGGUGCGAGCCGUGACAGUGCUCCAUUAUCGUCGUCAUCAUCAUCAUCAGCAGCAGCAUAAUCUUCGGUCCCCAUCUUUAGUUUUUUAUUAAACAGUACCGCAGGAAAAAAUUGAUGCGCCGGACGAAGAUAAGUACUCUCGUCGAAUCGUUGGCAUCGCAAUUGGGCUGCCUUAAUUAUCACUCGCUCUCUCUGUUCACUUAAGUCAAGCCAGGUGAUUCUUCCA